UUUUCACCUUUCAGCUUCGUGUCAGAAACCAGAGUGAAGCUUGUGCUGACCCGGCAGGACAGAAGGAGAAGCCUGAGGGAACAGGAAAUAGAGUAAUUCAGCGCUCAGUGCUCUUUGACCUUCACCCAGUGUACAACAAUGUGAUUUACAAAUCGUAAUGAAGUUUCCAGGACCAGAAGUGUUAAUCAGUAUGCAGUUGAGGGUCCAUAAAAUUCACUUAACUAGAAUGCAAGAUCAGAUGAGAGGUAAGUAUGUCACAUAAAAAAAUGAAGGUAAUGUUCACUUAGGCAUAGUGUGAAUGAUUGACAAGAUGUGUGGGAUUUCUUCAGUCAUUCCUGCAUAAGCUUUGCUGGUUGAAGGAGAUUACAUUUGCUUGUGAAGGCAGACUGACUCUUUAUAAUAGCAUUAGCCAUAUCAGGUAUU
rnacentral:lncRNA from 1 species